CACGGGGGGAGCAAGCGUUGUUCGGAAUCACUGGGCGUAAAGGGUUUGUAGGUGGCCUGCUAAGUCAGACGUGAGAUCCCUCAGCUUAACUGGGGAACUGCGUCUGAUACUGGCGGGCUUGAGGACAGGAGAGGAACGCGGAAUUCCAGGUGUAGCGGUGAAAUGCGUAGAUAUCUGGAGGAACACCGGUGGCGAAGGCGGCGUUCUGGACUGUUUCUGACACUGAAAAACGAAAGCCAGGGGAGCAAACGGG
rnacentral:rRNA from 1 species